GGAGGGGACAGCUCAGUGGCAGAGCGCGUGCUCAGCAUGCACAAGGUCCUGGGUUCAAUCCCCAGCGCCUCCU
rnacentral:tRNA from 1 species